rnacentral:rRNA from 1 species
UACGAAGGGGGCUAGCGUUGCUCGGAAUUACUGGGCGUAAAGCGCACGUAGGCGGCUUUCUAAGUCGGGGGUGAAAUCCUGGAGCUCAACUCCAGAACUGCCUUCGAUACUGGAGAGCUCGAGUCCGGGAGAGGUGAGUGGAACUGCGAGUGUAGAGGUGAAAUUCGUAGAUAUUCGCGAGAACACCAGUGGCGAAGGCGGCGCACUGGCCCGGUACUGACGCUGAGGUGCGAAAGCGUGGGGAGCAAACAGG